AGUGAACGUUGGCGGCGUGGAUUAGGCAUGCAAGUCGAGCGAGAACCGUAGCAAUACGGGGACAGCGGCGAAAGGGACAGUAAUGUGUAGGUACCUACCCCGGGGUCUGGGAUAGCUGCGGGAAACUGCCGGUAAUACCGGAUAAUGUCUUCGGACCAAAGGUGUGAUUCCACCUUGGGAGGGGCCUGCAUCCUAUCAGCUUGUUGGCGGGGUAACGGCCAACCAAGGCAACGAUGGGUAGCGGGGGUGAGAGCACGACCCGCGUCAUUGGGACUGAGAUAGUGCCCAGACACCUACGGGGGGCUGCAGUCGAGGGUCUUCGGCAAUGGGCGAAAGACUGACCGAGCGACGCCGCGUGCGGGAUGAAGGCCUUCGGGUUGUAAACCGCUGUCGUAGAGGAGGAAAUGCAGGGGGGUUCUCCCUUCUGUUUGACCUAUUCUAGGAGGAAGGACGGGCUAAGUUCGUGCCAGCCGCCGCAGUAA
rnacentral:rRNA from 1 species